GUCAGUGAAAUAUGCAGCUAUGAUCGGUAACAACCCAGAGAUGAUGGCGAGACAGAGACAGGUAAAGAGAGUGUGCAUACGUGAGGGUGUGUGUAUAUGAGAGAGCGAGAGAGAAAGAGAGGUCUUUGGGUUUGUGUGUAGGUAGGGGCUUGGAUUGGAUUGUGUGUGCAUCUCUGCGUGUGUGUGUGAGCGUCUCUUUGUGUGUGUGUGCGUGCGCCAAAGUGUGCAGUGGAGCAGCAAGGCUCGGGGAAUGGACGUGAUGUGACACUGGCUGGCUAGUCUGCUCUACACUCAGGGCGGCACAGCUGGUAUCAGUGCCUACAAUCAGCAAAGGCGAUAGGACUCCUAUCAACAGACAACUCCCUGGGAGGAGACAGACGCUAUGACUAAACUAAAGGGCACCGGUAAUGUCAUUAACGCAGUGACACAGGGCUUUCAGGGGAGCACAUUCACACUGAGAAACUGCAGUCAAAGGAGCCAAAAUGGAGGAGGGUUCUGAGGUAAAAACACAAUCAGAAGGCACAACGAUCCCGACUUCACUGUUGAGGGAUGACCGUCGCAUAGGAGUGACGCCACCUGUCGGAAGACAAUACAUCAAGAGCUGUUUUAAAGAACCAAGUUGGAGACAGUGGCACACACAACAGGCAGAUAAAGGAGUUGGAGGAGGAGGAGAGGAGGGGGUGGAGACAUAUGAUGCUCGCCGCAUGCCUCGCUGGUCCUUCGCACCCUGUUAUCGCUGUCCCUGGCCGUCGAUAAUGAUUAUCAAUACGUGACAGUUUGGCAUUCGACCGUCACUCCUCUGGGAAACUGGCCCGUCCUCCACAGGGUUCAAAGUUCAGUAAUCUCUGACCAUGACCGAACCGUGUGUGUGGGCCACCAAGACAUAAACAAUAUUCCUGGCUGUGGCAAUUGGAACAGGUGCCUACAGAGUGAAUUGACCUCCAUGGAUAGUUUGGAUGGUUUUACCCAAUGUCCUUUACAGACACUUAGAGUGAUUGUGAUUUUUAGUAUGUAAAGUGGCUAAGGAAGAAAGAGGGUUGGAGAUUGCAAAGAAAGAGAGGGGCCAAAGGAUUACAUUCAAGUAAGUCAUUUAGAAGACACUCUUAUAAGGAGUCUAAUAAAGAAGACUGAAACAACCUCAUGAUUCCAGUAUGUAAUGUAAAU
rnacentral:lncRNA from 1 species